rnacentral:rRNA from 1 species
CCUACGGGGGGCAGCAGUGAGGAAUAUUGGUCAAUGGGCGGAAGCCUGAACCAGCCAAGUCGCGUGCGGGAAGACGGCCCUAUGGGUUGUAAACCUCUUUUGUCCGGGGGCAACACCCUCCACGUGUGGCGGUCCGCAGGUACCCUGCGAAAAAGGCUCGGCUAAUUCCGUGCCAGCAGCCGCGGUAAUACGGAGGGCGCGAGCGUUAUCCGGAUUUAUUGGGUUUAAAGGGUGCGUAGGCGGAAGUUCAAGUCAGCGGUAAAAUCGCGAGGCUCAACCUCGCCCCGCCGUUGAAACUGGUGUUCUUGAGUGGGCGAGAAGUAUGCGGAAUGCGUGGUGUAGCGGUGAAAUGCAUAGAUAUCACGCAGAACUCCGAUUGCGAAGGCAGCAUACCGGCGCGCAACUGACGCUGAGGCACGAAAGUGUGGGUAUCGAACAGGAUUAGAUACCCUUGUAGUC